ACAGUCCUGCCUGCUCAUGAGUAAAGCUUUGUUUUUUUUUACCCAACUUCUAUGUCUCUGUGCAUUUCUUUCUGUGAUUCCAGAACAUUUGUUUCCCUGAUCGGGAAUCAGGAAAGAAUUGGCCCUUUUGGGCAUUUACCUGAAUUCAACUGGAGGGAGUGGCUCUUUGCCUCCUCCAAGGGAAUGGCAUACCCCUGGGACUAAUUUCCUAGGCUCCCCAACAGGACAUAGAGACCUGCUCUCCAGUGGCAGAUUGCCCAAACCCAAGACAGAAGACAACAGAAGGAGGGCUGCUGCUGUUGUUGUCUCCUCUGUCUCUUUUCUUUGCUUGAUGGGAGCAGCUUCUGGGAAGAUGGGGUUCGUCAUUCUGGAUAUACAAUAACCACAAAGGAUGGGGUGAUCCUAGCCCAGGACCUUCCUUUUGGCUGCUCUGAACUAUGGGCUGAGCUCUGGACACUCAUACAGGCAUUCUGAUGGACAAAGGGUAAAAAGGUAAAUAUAUACAGACUCUCACUAUGCAUUUGCUCCAUUUGCUCCAUGGCAUGAUACAUCAAGGGUGAGGUCUUCUCACAACAGAAGGGAAGCAAAUAAAAAAAAUUGAAAUAAAAUUGUACAGUUGCUAAAGGCCAUGUUGGAACCUAACAAAGUCACAGUAAUACAUUGUUCAGGACAUCAGAAAAACAAAAACUUCAUUACACAUGGUAACCAUAAGGCUGACACUGAAACAAAGACAACUACAAAAAAAAAAGAAGAAAGACAACUACUCAAAGCACUGCUCUCACCAAUCCAGAGGCUGGUGAGUCAAUGCAUGUCUGAAGAAUAGGAGUACUGGGAAAGGCAGCAUGGACUUUUUUGCUAUGCCAGAUCGCUACUGCUCUGAGUUUCUUUGUUUUCAAAUUGUGAAUGUUUAAGCAUAGUGAUAAAAAAGUUUGAUGAAAAAUAUGUAACUUUUAAAAUGGUAAAAUGAAAACCACAGUGCUAUCCUUUUACAAUGCUCUUGGAUGCCUGCCCAAAGGAACAUUACGGGGGCCUGGGGUAACUUCUGACUGUGGGAACUAUUCUAAUGAGAAAUUGUAUUGCAAAGAGAAAACAAGCUUAGAUCAACGGAUCCUUUGUUGGAUGAACCAUUGGUAAUUGUAACAAUUGUAAACAAGGUCAAUGUAAUCCUAUAUCUAUGUAUAUGCCACCCCAUGGGAUCCCAUUUGGCUACAAGGAGUAAUAUAUUUCUUUAGAACCAGAAAGUUUAAAAAAAGAUCUUUAGGAAAUUUGAGUUCCACUUCAGGCUUUAGAAACUCAGUUAGAUUCUUUAGCAAAUGUUGUGCUACAGAAUAGGCAUGCUUUCAAUUUGCUAAUGGCCCAGAAAGGAGAGACUUGCUUAUUCCUUGGUAAAAAAAUAUUGUUUUUAUGCUAAUGAAUCUGGUAUAGUACAAGGAUCACUUGACAAACUGAAAAAUUGGAUCAAGGCUCUUGAUGAAAAAUUUGAUAUGAGAGCCAUCUUAUGGGAUUAAUUUUACUUGGAUGGGAUACAAAGCUUGGAUAGGACCACUUUGGAGUCCCCUUCUUGUUAUAAUAUUAGUAUUGAUGCUUGGUCCUUGUGUUAUUCAAUGGAUCUCAAGAUUUAUACAGCAGUGUAUUGCUGCUGCUCAACACUAUCAAAUGCUAGUAUUAAGAACUACAGAUGAGUUAGAUAUAACAUACUACGGAUAGAUUUAUCCUGAAGUAGACAAAGGGAGGAAUAAUAGGGAAAAGUUUUAAAGUAAAUUUAGUACAUUAGCUGUUAAAGUAGUUAUGGAGGCAAAACAGGUAGUGUAUCCCUUUAAAAGCUUGCCUUAGCCCGUUACUUCUGCUGUGUAAAGUGAAGGUUAUAUAGCUCCUUUAAUCUGUAGCUCCACCGUAGAUAAAUCCUAGCUCUGAAAAACAAAGUGGGAAUCCUUGAACAAACUUGUGAUGUAUAUGCCUUAACUGUCAUGUGUUUAGGACUAUAAUCAGUGACAGAAACCACCUGUGUUUAACCAUUAAGCAGGAAUUGGAACUUUAUUUACUUAAGAAAGACCACUAGGGAUGAGAUAAUGACUGACAAAAGUAUAAACGGUGAUGGACAAGGAACACAGGGCAUGGACUCUGACCAGACCAGUUUCUGGCAGUCCUGCCUGCUCAUGAGUAAAGCUUUGUUUUUCUACCCAA